rnacentral:rRNA from 1 species
GACGAACGCUGGCGGCGUGCUUAACACAUGCAAGUCGAACGGAAAGGCCCUGCUUUUGUGGGGUGCUCGAGUGGCGAACGGGUGAGUAACACGUGAGUAACCUGCCCUUUACUUUGGUAUAACUUCAGGAAACUUGUGCUAAUACCGUAUAGGAGCUCCUGCUGCAUGGUGGGGGUUGGUAAGUUUCGGCUGUUGGGGAUGGACUCGCGGCUUAUCAGCUUGUUUGUGUGGUAGUGGCUUACCAAGGCUUUGACGGGUAGCCGGCCUGAGAGGGUGACAGGCGACAUUGGGACUGAGAUACGGCCCAGACUCCAACGGGAGGAAGCAGUGGGGAAUAUUGCACAAUGGGCGGAAGCCUGAUGAAGAAACGCAGCGUGCGGGAUGAAGGCCUUCGGGUUGUAAAAAGCUUUAGAAUGUGAAGAAGAGGGAGUGACGGUAAUGGGUAAAGAAGCACCGGCUAACUACGUG